rnacentral:rRNA from 1 species
GACUUGACAUCUCGAGAAUUCUCCCUAAUAGGAGAAGUGCCUUAGGGAACUCGAAGACAGGUGGUGCAUGGCUGUCGUCAGCUCGUGUCGUGAGAUGUUGGGUUAAGUCCCGCAACGAGCGCAACCCUCGUUCUUAGUUGCCAGCAUUAAGUUGGGCACUUUAGGAAGACUGCCGGUGACAAACCGGAGGAAGGUGGGGAUGACGUCAAGUCAGCAUGCCCCUUACGUUCUGGGCUACACACGUACUACAAUGGUUGGGACAAAGGGCAGCGAGCGAGCGAUCGUAAGCGAAUCUCAUCAAACCCAGCCUCAGUUCAGAUUGCAGGCUGCAACUCGCCUGCAUGAAGGAGGAAUCGCUAGUAAUCGCAGGUCAGCAUACUGCGGUGAAUUCGUUCCCGG